rnacentral:tRNA from 1 species
GUGACGAUGCCGUGCCGGUCGGCGUCGGCGUCGUUCCCGGUGGCGAUGGCGUACGCGUCGCGCUGUUCGAUCAGCGUGGCCAUG